rnacentral:snoRNA from 1 species
AACCUAUGGUGAGGGUACCUUCUCAGUAAGUCAUUGUACCUCUCCCAUGCAUCGUAAAGUGUUUCUAAAUCCAUCUGCACAAAAGAAGAGAUAUCAUUACAUAAUUU